rnacentral:tRNA from 1 species
GCAGCGCGUGGACGAGGACGUCGGCGCCGGUCCAGCCCCAGAUCUCCGCGAGCGCGUCGAGGUUCGACGCCACCGCGCGGCGC